rnacentral:rRNA from 1 species
UAGGGAAUCUUCCGCAAUGGGCGAAAGCCUGACGGAGCAACGCCGCGUGAGUGAUGAAGGUCUUCGGAUCGUAAAACUCUGUUAUUAGGGAAGAACAAAUGUGUAAGUAACUAUGCACGUCUUGACGGUACCUAAUCAGAAAGCCACGGCUAACUACGUGCCAGCAGCCGCGGUAAUACGUAGGUGGCAAGCGUUAUCCGGAAUUAUUGGGCGUAAAGCGCGCGUAGGCGGACUAUUAAGUCAGGGGUGAAAUCCCGGGGCUCAACCCCGGAACUGCCUUUGAUACUGGUAGUCUUGAGUUCGAGAGAGGUGAGUGGAAUUCCGAGUGUAGAGGUGAAAUUCGUAGAUAUUCGGAGGAACACCAGUGGCGAAGGCGGCUCACUGGCUCGAUACUGACGCUGAGGUGCGAAAGCGUGGGGAGCAAACAGG